GAGAGAGAGAGAGAAAGGGAGGUGUGGCUUCUAACUGGAGAGGGUCUCCGCCGGCGUCGGCCUGCACCGGCGAGGUCAGGCACGACCUGGCUUCUAGGGCGGCUUGACUACAGUCUACAAAUGACCACGUCCCUUUUCUCCCCUUCUCCCGUAUGUAUCUCUCUAUGUUGUUUCUCCUCCUUUCUCACACGAAGAAACACACAGAGCAGUAAACAAUGGGAGGAUUUGGGGGCUGCUCAGUUUUGGAUAUGGGGGCUGCACGGGCUUGGAGCAGCCAGCCUUGGCAACGAAGUAUACCCAUAUUAUAAUUAAAGGAGAGGAGUUGUACCGCCUUGCACAUAAUGCAUUUUAAUUCCUUAUUUCUCACAUCCCGAAGGUCACAUUACAUCUAUGAACCAAAAGAACUAGAGAGUUGGGUCGACAUAUGAAGACGCGGGAGCUAAAGCAAAUAGACUGCAAGGUUAUCAGGAUACCAGAGAAAUGGGUUAUGAUUUAGUCCUUGUAAAUGGCACUGGUUUUUCUGGUGCAAGUAAAGCCUGACAGUGGUGUACUCCAGGCAAUGUGAAGCUGGGACAUUCCUAUCAGGCGUGACCUUGUAGCCAAAUCCAUGAGGAGUCAGAGGCAGUUGCAGCAACUAACCAUGAAGCGACGAUGGAGAUCCAGUUCAUCUUUUAGGUCUGACCAGCACAAGGUGGCAACAGCAGUAGUGGAGAAAGCAUGAAGAGGCCCACAUCUAAAAAUCCGUUCUACUGACGGAUCAAGGGAGAUGGUCUUAGCAUCCACUAUGACAAUGUUGUCCAUAACAUGGACGACUCUGGAAACU